GGGCGGGCGAGGCGCAGGGCUCUCCCACACGUCGCGCCGCCAAUGGCAAGUUGGAGGGCGAGAUGCAAAUACCAGAUGAGGCUGCCGAGACCUAGGAAAUUAGCUGCUCUGGGUCAUCCAGGAGUGAGUGGCAAAGCUGAGACGCAAAUCCCAAAGAGCGCUUUUUCCGCUGUGCUCCCCAGCUUCGGGAGGAAGAAACACGGGCAGGGAGCACUUACUGGAACCUGAAGAAGAAACACAGAGAUGAGAGAAGUUACAAGCAGAGAAUGGAGGAAGAAACACGAUUUGGUCAGUGGAAGAAAAGCCUGGAGUAGAUGGAAGCAGAACAGUAAAGCCAUCUGAGGAGUGACGAAGUUCCGAUGUGAACUCACACAUCAUACUCCCAGCACUUCUGUUGCACUGAUGGUUCCUGUUGACCCGUCUGUGUCCGCCACUAGGUUCUAAAGCCAUUGAGGGCAGGGACUGUAUGUUACUCAUCUUCUUAUCUCUGGGGCCUAUUGGCCCACGGCAUGCAGCAAGUUCCGCAGUAUGUUUGCUAGCUGACCAA